rnacentral:rRNA from 1 species
GACGAACGCUGUCGGCGUGCUUAACACAUGCAAGUCGAACGGAAAGGCCCUGCUUUUGUGGGGUGCUCGAGUGGCGAACGGGUGAGUAACACGUGAGUAACCUGCCCUUGACUUUGGGAUAACUUCAGGAAACUGGGGCUAAUACCGGAUAGGAGCUCCUGCUGCAUGGUGGGGGUUGGAAAGUUUCGGCGGUUGGGGAUGGACUCGCGGCUUAUCAGCUUGUUGGUGGGGUAGUGGCUUACCAAGGCUUUGACGGGUAGCCGGCCUGAGAGGGUGACCGGCCACAUUGGGACUGAGAUACGGCCCAGACUCCUACGGGAGGCAGCAGUGGGGAAUAUUGCACAAUGGGCGGAAGCCUGAUGCAGCAACGCCGCGUGCGGGAUGACGGCCUUCGGGUUGUAAACCGCUUUCGCCUGUGACGAAGCGUGAGUGACGGUAAUGGGUAAAGAAGCACCGGCUAACUACGUGCCAGCAGCCGCGGUGAUACGUAGGGUGCGAGCGUUGUCCGGAUUUAUUGGGCGUAAAGGGCUCGUAGGUGGUUGAUCGCGUCGGAAGUGUAAUCUUGGGGCUUAACCCUGAGCGUGCUUUCGAUACGGGUUGACUUGAGGGAGGUAGGGGAGAAUGGAAUUCCUGGUGGAGCGGUGGAAUGCGCAGAUAUCAGGAGGAACACCAGUGGCGAAGGCGGUUCUCUGGGCCUUUCCUGACGCUGAGGAGCGAAAGCGUGGGGAGCGAACAGGCUUAGAUACCCUGGUAGUCCACGCUGUAAACGGUGGGUACUAGGUGUGGGGUCCAUUCCACGGGUUCCGUGCCGUAGCUAACGCUUUAAGUAUCCCGCCUGGGGAGUACGGCCGCAAGGCUAAAACUCAAAGGAAUUGACGGGGCCCCGCACAAGCGGCGGAGCAUGCGGAUUAAUUCGAUGCAACGCGUAGAACCUUACCUGGGUUUGACAUGGAUCGGGAGUGCUCAGAGAUGGGUGUGCCUCUUUUGGGGUCGGUUCACAGGUGGUGCAUGCCUGUCGUCAGCUCGUGUCGUGAGAUGUUGGGUUAAGUCCCGCAACGAGCGCAACCCUUGUUCACUGUUGCCAGCACGUUAUGGUGGGGACUCAGUGGAGACCGCCGGGGUCAACUCGGAGGAAGGUGGGGAUGACGUCAAGUCAUCAUGCCCCUUAUGUCCAGGGCUUCACGCAUGCUACAAUGGCUGGUACAGAGAGUGGCGAGCCUGUGAGGGUGAGCGAAUCUCGGAAAACCGGUCUCAGUUCGGAUUGGGGUCUGCAACUCGACCUCAUGAAGUCGGAGUCGCUAGUAAUCGCAGAUCAGCAACGCUGCGGUGAAUACGUUCCCGGG